CCUACGGGAGGCAGCAGUGAGGAAUAUUGGUCAAUGGGCGGGAGUCUGAACCAGCCAAGCCGCGUGAGGGAAGAAGGUACAGCGUAUCGUAAACCUCUUUUGUCAGGGAAUAAAGGCGGGGACUAGUCCCCGGAUGAGGGUACCUGAAGAAAAAGCAUCGGCUAACUCCGUGCCAGCAGCCGCGGUAAUACGGGGGAUGCGAGCGUUAUCCGGCUUUAUUGGGUUUAAAGGGUGCGCAGGCGGCCUGUUAAGUCAGCGGGAAAAGCCCGGGGCUCAACCCCGGCGUGCGGUUGAAACUGGCGGGCUGGAGUUGGAGAGAAGUACGCGGAAUGCGCGGUGUAGCGGUGAAAUGCUUAGAUAUCGCGCAGAACCCCGAUUGCGAAGGCAGCGUACCGGCUCCACACUGACGCUGAGGCACGAAAGCGUGGGUAUCGAACAGGAUUAGAUACCCUUGUAGUC
rnacentral:rRNA from 1 species